rnacentral:lncRNA from 1 species
GCAAUAAUUGCUUCUCAGCAGUGGGAGAUCCUUGUACAUAGCGUGAAAGGGUGCAAGAACUCACUCUGCCAGAAAGCAGGUGAUUCCAACAGGGCACAGGCUGGCUGCUCUGGGUGUGAGAGGCUGGGCAGCACCAGGAGCCCUCCCAGAGGGACUGGGGCAGGCUGGGAGGGGAUGGAUGCACCGCCUGGCCUCCUGCCUGCAGCUCCCCGGGUACAGGGCUAGCAGGGGCAGGCUGCUGGGCAGUGUUAUGACAGAGUAUGAAACUGCUAGGCUCAUCUCACACAACAAAGAUUUCAUCACGUACUCCUCAAAAAAGCAGGGUUAGCUCCUCCCAUUUGUUUUAUAACGAUGAGUUUAAGCCUGCCCGGAGGGGAAAAAAAGUAAGCGAGAAUCCUCUGAAACUGGAUGCUUUUCUAUGUAAGGCUUUGAAAUACCAGGGCUGGUUUAGGCAAUUCUUCAGCUGAGGACUGGGAUGUUUUUUGGCCCCAGCAGCCUCCUGGGAAGGUUUUGUAAGGACAGCUGUGGAAUGCGCUCUGUUUACCAACUUCUUGCCAUGGAAAACAAAGCUUUGAUUCCUGAGCCAUGGAAAACUUCUGCCGAUGAAUCCCCACCCCCUCUCUGGGGAGGGAAGCACAACAAACACUAAUGCCUCUUCUCCCUUUUAUGCCUGGCGUAUUAAUCACCGAGCAGGGCUCGCCGCGUCCCGCUCAGCCUGUGUUUGCCCUCUAACUACGGGGAGGAGUUCUGCUUUGUCUAUAUAAAGCUGCACCACUUUGCUGAACACUGUAACAGAACCAAACUUAGAGACUCGAUCACCCAUCCUCUGUGGGGAGAGCAGACCAGCAGGAGCCAUGUUUGGGAUUGGGAAGAAGCUCGCCGAGGAAGCAACGCAACAGGCUGAGAGUGCUGCGCAGGCGGCAGUUAACACAGUGGGCCAGACUGUGCAGCAAGCAGUGGAACAGGCCAAGGAUGCUGGUCAGAAAGCUCUCGAUGAAGUCUACAAGGUCGCUGAAACUGGUGAAAAAGCUGUAAAAAAUGUAGCAAAUCAAGCAACUUCCUGGGGCAAAAGCUUUGGACAAUGAAGAUAACGUAACACCACUGAAUGUAUUCUUAAAUAAAUAAAACCCCUACAGUGUACA